rnacentral:rRNA from 1 species
AACUUAGGACGCUAGCGUUAUCCGGAAUUACUGGGCGUAAAGCGCGGGCAGGCGGUCUGACAAGUCUUAUGUGAAAUCUCCGGGCUCAACCGGGAGAGGCCAUUGGAAACUGACAGGCUGGAGGGCAGUAGAGGUAGGCGGAAUUCCGGGUGGAGUGGUGAAAUGCGUAGAGAUCCGGAGGAACACCAGAGGCGAAGGCGGCCUACUGGGCUGCACCUGACGCUGAGCCGCGAAAGCCAGGGGAGCGAACGGG